rnacentral:rRNA from 2 species
UUGUUUAGUUUUUAAGGGCAUUCGGUGGAUGCCUUGGUACCAGGAGCCGAUGAAGGACGUUAUGGCCUGCGAUAAGCCUCGGGGAGUUGGCGAAUAAGCGUUGAUCCGGGGAUGUCCGAAUGGGGGAACCCAGCCAGAGUAAUGUCUGGUUACCUGCAUCUGAAUACAUAGGGUGUAGGAGGGAACGCGGGGAAGUGAAACAUCUCAGUACCCGUAGGAAAAGAUAUUUCGUUAGUAGUGGCGAGCGAACGCGAAUGAUGGCCAAACCGUUAGCGUGUGAUUACCCGGCAGGGGUUGCGUUAGCGGGGUUGUGGGAGCAAACAUCACCAGUCUGCCGGUUGGUGGCGUAGUUACAAAGUGACAUUGUAAGUGAAAGGCAUUGAAUGGCCUACCAUAGUGCGUGUAAGUCGCGUAACUGAAGUGGUGUCACCUGCGUGUUUUGUUUCCCAAGUAGCACGGGGCCCGUGAAAUCUCGUGUGAAUCUGCCCAGACCACUGGGUAAGCCUGAAUACUUUCUGGUGACCGAUAGUGCAUAGUACCGUGAGGGAAUGGUGAAAAGUACCCCGGGAGGGGAGUGAAAUAGUACCUGAAACCGGAUGCCUACAAGCCGUCAAAGCCCUUAGGGGUGAUGGCGUGCCUUUUGAAGAAUGAGCCUGCGAGUUAGCGGUGCGUGGCAAGGUUAACCCGUGUGGGGAAGCCGUAGCGAAAGCGAGUCUGAAUAGGGCGUUAUAGUCGCGUGCUCUAGACCCGAAGCGGGGUGAUCUACCCAUGGCCAGGUUGAAGCGAUGGUAAGACGUCGUGGAGGACCGAACCCACCUAGGUUGAAAACUGGGGGGAUGAGCUGUGGGUAGGGGUGAAAGGCCAAUCAAACUCCGUGAUAGCUGGUUCUCCCCGAAAUGCAUUUAGGUGCAGCGUCGCGUGUUUCUUACCGGAGGUAGAGCUACUGGUUGGUCAAUGGGCCCUCACAGGUUACUGAGAUCUGCCAAACUCCGAAUGCCGGUAAGGUGAUAGCGCGGCAGUGAGACUGCGGGGGAUAAGCUCCGUAGUCGAGAGGGAAACAGCCCAGACCAUCGGUUAAGGCCCCUAAGCGUGUGCUAAGUGGGAAAGGAUGUGGAGUUGCUCAGACAACCAGGAGGUUGGCUUAGAAGCAGCCACCCUUGAAAGAGUGCGUAAUAGCUCACUGGUCAAGUGAUUCCGCGCCGACAAUUUAGCGGGGCUCAAGUACACCGCCGAAACCGUGGCAUCACAACUUUAGCUAAGCCUUCGUGGUUCAGGCGUUGUGAUGGGUAGGGGAGCGUCCCAUGUUGGCAGAAGCCCUGGUGUGAACCAUGGUGGACGACAUGGGAGUGAGAAUGCAGGCAUGAGUAGCGAAUGACAAGUGAAAAACUUGUCCGCCGAUUGACUAAGGGUUCCAGGGUUAAGCUAAUCUGCCCUGGGUUAGUCGGGACCUAAGGCGAGGCCGACAGGCGUAGUCGAUGGAUAACCAGUUUAUAUUCUGGUACCGGUUCUAAACCGCCCAUGCUGAAUCAAACAUACUAACCUCCACUUUGAACUGUCUUACUUUCUUCGGAUUGUUUGACCAGUUUUUUGUGUUGGGACCAGGUUUGGUAGUAGGCAAGCGUAUUAACAGGGGUGACGCACAGUGGUAGCUUCCGCGUACAGAUGGAAUUGUACGUUUAAAGCCGCAGCCCGCCACCUUGGCAAAUCCGGGUGGCACAAGGGUGAGAGCUGAUGAUGACAACUAUUGUUGGAAGAGAGUGAUCCUGUGGUGCCAAGAAAAACCUCGACGUGAGGGUUAGAACCGCCCGUACCCCAAACCGACACAGGUAGUCAGGUAGAGUAUACCGAGGCGAUCGAGAUAAUCAUGGUUAAGGAACUCGGCAAAAUGCCCCCGUAACUUCGGGAGAAGGGGGACCACACCCGUCAAAACCCUUGCGGUUGGCAGCGGAAUGUGGUCGCAGAGAAUUGAGAGAAGCGACUGUUUACUAAAAACACAGGUGCGUGCGAAGACGCAAGUCGAUGUAUACGCACUGACGCCUGCCCGGUGCUGGAAGGUUAAGAGGAACGGUCAACCAACCUCGGUUGGUGAAGCUGUGAAUUUAAGCCCCAGUAAACGGCGGUGGUAACUAUAACCAUCCUAAGGUAGCGAAAUUCCUUGUCGGGUAAGUUCCGACCUGCACGAAUGGCGUAACGACUUCUCUGCUGUCUCGACCAUGAACUCGGCGAAAUUGCACUACGAGUAAAGAUGCUCGUUACGCGCAGCAGGACGGAAAGACCCCGGGACCUUUACUAUAGCUUGGUAUUGGUGCUCGCUUGGACUUGUGUAGGAUAGGUGGGAGACUAUGAACCAGCCACGCCAGUGGUUGGGGAGUCAAUGUUGAAAUACCACUCUGGUUCAAGUGCGCAUCUCAACCUCGGUCCGUAAUCCGGACCAGGGACAGUGCCUGGUGGGUAGUUUAACUGGGGCGGUUGCCUCCCAAAAAGUAACGGAGGCGCUCAAAGGUUCCCUCAGCCUGGUUGGUAAUCAGGUGGCGAGUGUAAGUGCACAAGGGAGCUUGACUGCGAGACUGACAAGUCGAGCAGGUGCGAAAGCAGGAACUAGUGAUCCGGCACCACCUUGUGGAAGGGGUGUCGCUCAACGGAUAAAAGGUACCCCGGGGAUAACAGGCUGAUCUUGCCCAAGAGUCCAUAUCGACGGCAUGGUUUGGCACCUCGAUGUCGGCUCGUCGCAUCCUGGGGCUGGAGUAGGUCCCAAGGGUUGGGCUGUUCGCCCAUUAAAGCGGUACGCGAGCUGGGUUUAGAACGUCGUGAGACAGUUCGGUCCCUAUCCGCUGCGCGCGCACGAAACUUGAGAAGACCUGUCCCUAGUACGAGAGGACCGGGACGGACGAACCUCUGGUGUGCCAGUUGUACCGCCAGGUGCAUCGCUGGUUAGCUACGUUCGGAAAGGAUAACCGCUGAAAGCAUCUAAGCGGGAAGCCUGCUUCAAGAUAAGGUUUCUUUUGAGGCUCCCAGCAGACUACUGGGUAGAUAGGCCGGACGUGGAAGCACAGCAAUGUGUUCAACAAGCCGACCGGUACUAAUCAGCCAACAACUAAACAACAA